rnacentral:rRNA from 1 species
UACAGAGGUCUCAAGCGUUGUUCGGACUCAUUGGGCGUAAAGGGUGCGUAGGUGGCGCCGUAAGUCAGGUGUGAAAUUUCGGAGCUUAACUCCGAAACUGCAUUUGAUACUGCGGUGCUUGAGGACUGGAGAGGAGACUGGAAUUUACGGUGUAGCAGUGAAAUGCGUAGAGAUCGUAAGGAAGACCAGUGGCGAAGGCGGGUCUCUGGACAGUUCCUGACACUGAGGCACGAAGGCCAGGGGAGCAAACGGG